CUUUGCAUGGCCUUUGUCUUUUGAAUGAACCAAAUUAUGUUAAAUAAAGGCAAUCCAUUUAAUAGAAAAUAUCAGUAUCUAUAAAAUAAACAAAUUUAGUAAAUGGGAAGUGCUUUUGUAUUGUAUUUUCGCACUUGUUGAUUUGUUUUCGCAAAACUCACUCGCUCGUUCGUUUUGUGAAAACAAAUUAACGCGUACGAAAAUACCAUACGU